rnacentral:other from 1 species
AUUAAAAUCAGACCGAUUUGGAAUGGAAAC